rnacentral:rRNA from 1 species
AUUGAACGCUAGCGGCAUGCUUAACACAUGCAAGUCGAACGGUAGCAGAUCUAGCUUGCUAGAUGCUGACGAGUGGCGGACGGGUGAGUAACGCGUAGGAAUCUACCUUGUAGUGGGGGAUAACUUGGGGAAACCCAAGCUAAUACCGCAUGAGCCCUAAGGGGGAAAGCAGGGGACCGAAAGGCCUUGUGCUAUGAGAUGAGCCUGCGUCGGAUUAGCUAGUUGGUGGGGUAAAGGCCUACCAAGGCGACGAUCCGUAGCUGGUCUGAGAGGACGACCAGCCACACUGGGACUGAGACACGGCCCAGACUCCUACGGGAGGCAGCAGUGGGGAAUAUUGGACAAUGGGCGCAAGCCUGAUCCAGCAAUGCCGCGUGUGUGAAGAAGGCCUGCGGGUUGUAAAGCACUUUCAGUAGGGAGGAAGGCCUCGAUGUUAAUAGUAUCGAGGAUUGACGUUACCUACAGAAGAAGCACCGGCUAACUCUGUGCCAGCAGCCGCGGUAAUACAGAGGGUGCGAGCGUUAAUCGGAAUUACUGGGCGUAAAGGGCGCGUAGGUGGUUAUUUAAGUCAGAUGUGAAAUCCCUGGGCUUAACCUAGGAAUUGCAUUUGAAACUAGAU